AUUACUGGCUUUUCAUUUCUUAUAAAAGGAAAGGCGGGAACUUAUCUUGUAUUAGAAGCUUACUGGAUAGUUUUUCAGUAUCUGAGCAGAUUUUUUUCUGUCAGACUGUGGAAGGAAUCAUUCUUUCAUAAUUACAGCGUUGCUUACAAGUUUAAGUGAUGUAUAUUGUACAGUUAUUUUUCCAGGUUUUGUUGUGACAGUGAUUAUCUACAAUUGGAAGGGAUUCUUAAUUCUUUCUUACUGAGAUGUCAGGUAUUGUAAUCACUAGUCAAAAGGUUAAUUCCAGUUUUCUUCUUGUGGUUGUGUACUUUUGGCUUUUUUUUUUUUGGGCACAAAGCAAUAUUCUGAGUACCAGUCUAGGUCUAUAUCAGUAGACAUCGAUCUUAUUAGUUUAAAUUUACAUGCAAAAAGAGAGAUUAACUGAAUUUUACUUUGCUCUCUGCACAUAUACAUAUAUGCAUGCUGUUGUUAUUUGCUAAAUUUGUUUCAACAACUGGUAUGAUGGUUUUCUGUCAUAUAAUAUGCAGUGUUAUCUAUCUUGCCAGAUAUUAUGACUAUUCUAUUAAAGUAGCGAAAUCUCAGAUUUGCAGCAUGCCACAUAUUUAGAUGAGCAGUUUGUUAAGGUAUCAAAAAUUUUUAAAAAGGGGGUCGGGGGGAACAAUAUUAGAAAACAAGAAAAGAAAAUUAGGUGGACAGUUUGUCAACCUGGACCAGAAUAAUUUCAACUUAUUAUUAACCAUCCUGUUUUCCUUUUAAGAUUUUGUCUUGAAAGAGUAUGAAUUGAGAAUAAAGAACUGAAUUGCCGUGGAAGUAAUGGAGGUAAGGAGGUGAACAACAGAGAUGAAGGAAGAAUUUUUGCUAAAUAUGGUCAAGUUGUGAGAAUAAGUGUUGUUGGGAACUUGCUUUUUGUAAUGGGAAAUUUUGCUACAGAAAAGUCUUGCUUUAUGUUGAAGCUAGGUUCAAAUGGAACUCUUAAAUUUUGCUCUAGUGGAUGUUUGCCAUGAGAACUGUGACAAUAGCUCCCAAGUUGGAAAAACCUUGGAGAAGAUUCAUAAGAGGUGAAUAUCUUUGCUAGCGACAGGGCAGGCAGACUAAAUCUGUUAAAAUUGUCUACCUUGAUGAAUAUGGUUUUGAGUGGUACUUUGAUGCAGGAUGGCACACGUUUUGCCAGGACUUCUCACAUAAAUUGCAAUUUCAUCCGGUGGAUUGAAGAAGACUUGCAGGUUAGCCUACCCUGCAAAAUUAAAGUUCUACCUUUUGUUUUUGUUCAUUCAGAGGCCAGCGUACUCUUGAAGGAUUAUCUGCCAAAGGAAUAAUACCUUAUGCUGAUACAGUGCCACAACUAAAUCAGCAUCUUCUAGCAGGAUGUCCAUUUGGAGAUCAAUCAAUUGGCAAUCACCAACUAAUUCUGCAGGAGGAGAAAUGUGGCAAAGAAGUGCAUAAAAGCACAGUGCUUAUGUCAGCAUCUUGACUCUUGAUCCGGUGUAGUUCUGUUAACAGAAGGAAAGAAUGAUUCAUAUGUUUCAUUGUGCUUGGAACUAUACCAUUGUUGCAUUUGUUAAUUGUGCUGGUCAAACAUAUUGAAAACCUUGAUUGUUUAAUUAUUUGCUUCUGUGAUUGAGACUUAAGAGGCUUCAUGGAUUCCUGUAUAUAUAUUUUUAACACCUGGAAAGAAAUGUUUUGAUAAACUGCUGCUAGGCAGGCUAUAGAUUAAGGCCUGUAUUCCAUUCUUGU